rnacentral:rRNA from 1 species
AACGAAGUGAAUUGAAAUAUCUUAGUAACUUUAGGAAAAGAAAUCAAACGAGAUUGUUAUUUGGUGUAAACUAAAUAACAAGAGCCUAUUAACAAAACUUGUUAAAGUAAAAUGGAUUAAAAUCUGUUUGAAUAUAGGGGAACCUUCCUCUAAGGCUAAAUAUGAUAUAUAAGCAAUAGUGUAAAGUACCGUGAGGUAAAAUUUGAAGUAGUAGUUUUAUAAGCAGCUCGAGUGAAAUUUUAAAUAAAUAAUAAGAGUGUACCUUUUGCAUAAUGGGUCAGCAAGUUAAUUUUAGAUGCAAGCAAUGAUUUCAUGCGAUUUACGUAUGAAACUAGCUUAGAUAAACCAAUUAUGAGAAAAUGAAUAAGUAUCUAGAAUUAGACCCGAAGGCUAGUGAUCUUACCAUGGUCAGGGUUAUAAAAGCCCGAACGGGUUAUCGUUGUAUAGAUAUCCGAAGAACUGUGGUAAGUUAGUGAAAGACAAAACUGACUAGUAUAGCUGGUUUUCCGCGAAACCUAUAUGAGUAGGUAAUUUAACUAACAUCUUAGCAGGUACAGAACUGUGAUCUCGGACAAUAUCUUUUGAUUUUGUCAACAUCGGGGGGUUGUAGUGACUUUACCGGAGAGUAUUUGCACUCGGAAUGGCAAAGAUGAAUGUUGAAUAAUCGGACAUAGUGCGAUAAGGUUGUAUGUCUAAAGGGAAACAGCCCAGAACAAGAGUUAAGGUUCCAAAAUUAUUGUUGAGUGAAAUUAAGGAUGUUUUUUUUAAAAACAAUCAGGAAAUAGGCUUAGAAGCGGCCAUUUUUUGAAGACCUCGUAACAGAGCACUGAUUAAAAAUUUUAGAAAAAAACACCGAAAAUUUAACGGAUCUAAACAAUAUACCGAAACCUUGUACACAUAUUUAUAAUAAGAUUAUUGUAUAUGUGGGGUAGCGGAACAUUGGAUAAAUAAUAUUUAUUUAUUCUUUUAUAGAAUAAUAUAGAGUAUGGUUUAUUAUAAAUAAAAUUUAUAUAAUAUUAUAUCUAAAAGGUAUAAUGUUUAUGAAAAAGAUUAAUUAUUAUAAAUAACCAUCGGUUAUGAUCCAAGAGAGAAUGCUGACAUGAGUAACGAAAAAGGUAUAUCCUCGCCUUAAGCUUAUGGUAUUAUAUUUAAUUUUCGGUAUCUAAAAAUAUUAAUCAAAAGGUAAUUUUGAUGAUAUUUAUAUAUAAAUACUUAUAAGUAAAAAACAAAACCUUUAACAAGUAAUAAAGGUUCUGGAAAAUUUUUUACUUAGAUAAAAUUAAUUUAAAUACUAUGUAUGUAAUAAUAUAGAAUAUGUUUAUAACUAUAUAAUUACUUGUUACAAGUUUUCAAGAUUGUAUAGUUUUAUUCUAUAUUUAAGAUUAUUUUAUUUUUAUCUAAUUACAUAAAUUUUGUGUAUAACGAUAAGUAAGUUUUAUAUAUACCGUACCUAGAUACUAUCGCAAGUAAGCAAGUAGAGAAUACAAAGGCGUUUGAGUGAACAAUCAUUAAGGAACUCGGCAAAUUGACUACCGUAACUUCGGGAUAAGGAGGGCCAUUAUGAUUAGUUUAACAUAUCUUAUGAUAUGAUUUAAUUAAACUAAACAUAAGAGGAAACAUAAAAUAAUGUUGUACGACUGUUUAAUAAAAACACAGCACUCUGCAAAGAUAAAAUAUCAAAGUAUUGAGUGUGAUGUCUGCCCAAUGUCGGCUGGGUAACGGAUUUACCUUGGUUUUUAACUAAGGUUUUGAAGGAUACCCCGAUUAAUGGCGGCCUUACCUAUGAGGGUCCUAAGGUAGCGAAAUACCUUGGCCGUUAAAUGCGGUCCUGCAUGAAUGACUUAACGAUACAACAGCUGUCUCGAUGAUUGUCUCAGUGAAAUUGGAAUAGCAGUGCAGAUACUGUUUACCUCUAGAUAGACGAGAAGACCCUAUGCAGCUUUACUGUUACUAAUUGCAAGAGUGAAAAUUUAGGAUGAUUUCGAGUGUAUAAGGUAGUUGUUUGAUAACAAUGAAACACCUUUAUUCGUUUCCUACUAUAUGCUCUUGAGGAUUGGGAGGCAGUUUAUGCGGGGCACAGAUCCCACAAAAAGUACCUGGGUAUAUCCAAAGUUCAUUUUGUAAAUUUGUAAAUUUCUUUACAAAUAUUUUAAUUUGUUAUAAUUAUAUUCAUAAUUAUACAGUUAUUGUUAGAUUAAGUUCAAUAUUUAUUUUUAUUUUAAGUAAGAUUUUAACUAUAUGGUGAAUAGAUGUAUUUUAAACUUUACCCGUAGGGGAGUGAUCCUACUCCGGGAUAUUUAAAAGUUUUUUGUCAUAUUAAUAUUGUAUUUAAUCUUUAUUGAUAUGAUAAUUAAUUAUACUUUAAAAGUUUAAUGGCUAAAUCUUGCUUUACUGUUUGACCUACAAGUCUAUCAGUCGCGUAAGCGGGGCAUAUGAUCACAAGAUGCAUAAAGGAAAGGUCUUGGAUUAUAGAAAAAGUUACGCUAGGGAUAACAGGCUAAUUUGCGCAAGAGAGUACAAAUUGAGUGCGCGGUUUGGCACCUCGAUGUCGGCUUAGCUCAUCCACAUGAAUGCAAAAAUCAUGAAGGGUUCGACUGUUCGUCGAUUAAAGAGCUACAUGAGCUGGGUUUAAUACGUCGUGAGACAGUAUGGUUUCUAUCUUCUAGAGGGAAUUAAAGUAGAAUAAAGAUAGCCCCUUCGUACGAAAGGAGUUGGGUAUAUUGACCUAUGGUUUACCUGUUGUUUAUGUUAUAUAUUCUAAGUAAUAUAUCAUUUACUUAUACUUAAGUAAAUUGUUCACAUAGGCAUGGCAGGAAGGCUACGUCAGUUAAAGAUAAGUGCUGAAAGCAUUUAAGCGCGAAGCUUACUUUAGGAUACUUUUAAACGUAGUAGAACACUACGA